CCUUAAGUUACAUCAAUGCAGAAACAGGUUAUAUAUCAAACUAUUAACAUUUGUAACAAGAGAUCAAGGUUCUUUUCAUAUUUUCAACUUCAUGCAUUUGUUUUUUCUGAUAAUUGUUUUUAAUCUCUACAUGUAUAAUAUGUAAAAUAUAAAUUAUUCAAUGAUUUCUUUAUAAUGUAUAUUGUUGAAAUGACAAUUGUUAGUAGAUCUUUUUCAUUUCCUACAAAUAAAACAAAUUAAAUCAAUUUGAUUAAAUAUGACUAAAUGGUACAAUCAGUUAAGUUUUGUACAGCUGAACAGGGUCAUCAUAAUCAUUUGUUAUAUUUACAUGUAUGUGUUGUGUUUUCAAUGGAACAAUCUAAAAUUACAUUUUACAUUAUACAAUUACAUAACUUGCAGGCUGGGACAUAAGUGGUGACUGUGAGAAUUACCAACAGUGUUUAAUAAUGAUGUGCAGUAUUAAUCCUGAAAAGGUGAGCACAACCACAAGAAGUUCUAGGAAACACAGGCAGAGGACUGAAAAUGGACAUCAAUAAAAGAAAUAGUAAUUUAAAUAAUCAGAAACACUUGAAACAAAUUUAAGAUUAAAACAGUUUCUCAUUGACAGAUUAAGAGCAAAAUAAUUGCUAAAAUUUAUAAGACAACCAGAACCUAGCUACCAAACCUGCAGCUAGAAAAAAAACUGUUUGUGCUAUAGUGAAUGUAGGAUGUUCUAUUCUGUAUUUGGACUAAAGGAUAUGUAUUAAAUUUUGUGAAGGAAAUA